CGAACGCUGGCGGCAGGCCUAACACAUGCAAGUCGAACGAACCUUUCGGGGUUAGUGGCGGACGGGUGAGUAACACGUGGGAACGUGCCUUUAGGUUCGGAAUAACUCAGGGAAACUUGUGCUAAUACCGAAUGUGCCCUUCGGGGGAAAGAUUAAUCGCCUUUAGAGCGGCCCGCGUCUGAUUAGCUAGUUGGUUGAGGUAAUGGCUCACCAAGGCGACGAUCAGUAGCUGGUCUGAGAGGAUGAUCAGCCACAUUGGGACUGAGACACGGCCCAAACUCCUACGGGAAGCAGCAGUGGGGAAUCUUGCGCAAUGGGCGAAAGCCUGACGCAGCCAUGCCGCGUGAAUGAUGAAGGUCUUAGGAUUGUAAAAUUCUUUCACCGGGGACGAUAAUGACGGUACCCGGAGAAGAAGCCCCGGCUAACUUCGUG
rnacentral:rRNA from 1 species